CUUCUUCAGGGCAAUCAAACUGUACUGUAAUCAUGACAGAUUUAUUCGGUAUGCAGCAUCUCCUAUCCAGGCAGAUUCCACAAAACACAGGGUAAAUGGCCAAAAUAACUUGACUCGCCUUGAGACUAUACCUAUGUGGACCAGGGCAGUUCAUGGAGGAGGAUGUUGAUGCUGCAAAAGGUUUUCAUACAGUUUUACUAUCAGUCUACAUGGAAAAUGCAGACCAGAAAAUGUGUCGUCCUUUCAGACAGAUUCGUUUGUACUUAUCUGAUUCAGUACAUUACAGAUGGAUUUAACUACAGUUCCUAUCAUCCCAAAAUUUGGAUUGCAUCUUAACAUCAAGAAAACAAAGAUAAUGGCAACUGGAAACAACACACAGUGCAGAUCGACAAUGACACCGUCAAAACAGUAAAGGAAUUCAUCUCUUCCUGGGUUCUAAAAUCGACCAAAGUGAUGACUGCAGCCCUGAGAUCAGAAUGCGUAUAGCACUUGGAAGAUUAGUUAACGCAAUAAUUUUUUCCAAUUGCUACUUAUGGCUGCGAAACCUGGACUCUGAAAAAGGCAGAUGGGAGAGAAGGCUGGAUGCCUUUGAACUGUGGUGCUGAGGUGACUAUUACACAUCCCAUGGACUACAAAAAUAACAAGAAGUCCUAGGUUGAACCUCCCCAAAAAUAUCACUUGAAGCCAAGUUCACCAAACAAAGGCUGUCGUACUUUGGUCAUGUCAUGAGAAAUGACUCACUCGAAAAGUCAUUCAUGGUGGGAGUGAUAAGCAGAAAAAGGAGAAGGGGCCACUAGUAACCGCUGGCUGGAUACUAUAAAGGAUGGCAUUGGGAUGAUCAUGGUGGAUCUGAAAGAGAUGAUGUGAAACAGAGGGACAUGGAGAAUGCUGAUCCAUAGAGUGGCCAAGGGUCAGACGUGAAUGAAUGGCUGACAAGGAUGAUGAUGACCCCUAUCACCCCCAAUCACCACAGCCAGUGAGUAUACUAAGCAAAGAUUAUUGGAGUAGCAGGACAAAUAAAGUACCAAAUUAAGAUAUUCUGGAACAAAGAACAUUUGCUUUCCUACAGAGACUUCACAUAUUACUUUUCAUUUAGAGUAGGUUCAUAUAACACUCUAGCCAGUACUAUAAUUUGGCUUAGCCUUAGCAUGUUGGAUGCAUGGAAUCAUUGUUAUUUGUAAAACAAUUUGGUUGGUGUUAUUUGUAAACCCACCCAUGUGGAGUUUCUUCAACAAAGCACAACAUGUUGCAGUGACUGAAUCCACUUAUUCAAGGUAAUAUCCUUGGUAACAGCAUUCUCCAACCUGGACUCCAGUUGGGAAUUCUCUGAAUUGAAAUCCCAAAUUAUCGCAGAGUGUUAGCUUCUGUGCUUAAAUUAAAAUAAAACAAAAGCUAGCUUCAUUCUUCAA